UACAGAGGGUGCGAGCGUUGUCCGGAAUCACUGGGCGUAAAGGGCGCGUAGGCGGCGCGGUAAGCGUGCGGUGAAAGCCCGGGGCUCAACCCCGGGUCGGCCGUGCGGACUGCCGGGCUGGAGCACUGUAGAGGCAGGUGGAAUUCCGGGUGUAGCGGUGGAAUGCGUAGAGAUCCGGAAGAACACCGGUGGCGAAGGCGGCCUGCUGGGCAGUAGCUGACGCUGAGGUGCGAAAGCGUGGGGAGCAAACAGG
rnacentral:rRNA from 1 species